AUCGAGAUGAUUGAAAGAAAAUGUAUUAUAUUUUUGAAAGUUUGAAACGCACUCAGCCGUUGUGUUAUUUCUUUCAAGCGUGUUUGUUUAUCAAGUGAAAAAGUGAAAAAAAAGUUCUGCAUGUUCUGUUCCGAUGAAGGUUUUGGGUCCUGCUGCUGUUUCUCCGUGAAUCUUCAUAACUUUUCCCAUCUGGGAGUACGUACUACCCCACUGGACCGGCGUUGGGGCGCUAUUCCAUCGGCGACUUCAAUAUCUCUUCCAAGGCUGCAGUGGCUCAUUCGACGCCGGAAGAGUUUACCUCCAGACGAAUGGUGGUCGAACGAAUGGAUAUUUUCGAUCUUCUGGAAGUUAGCGAGAUAUUUUCCAGCUUAAUAGAAACUAUUCCUAAUGAAAAAUGCUUCGCUUUUGGAGCCGCACGGAUUCAACAUCAACUAAUAAUGGAAAAUGUAUUACCUAGGCAGGAUCUGUUACACUCCACAAAAGGCGGUAUGGAGGGCGAUGCGGCUGAUUAGACGCACCCGUCACUCCAUAGCAAUUCGGAAAUUGAGAAUGCAUGAAACAACUCUCUCAACUAUGGUGGAAUCUCAUUGAUUACCCGAUAAGUUAUAGUAAAACUUCGACCAACUAGUUCAUUGUAUA